CUGGAGAUCCUUUGUUUUGUAGUUCUCUACUGUGAGCCUAGGACGUCUGGAAGACUAGCUCUCACUGCUUUAUUAAGUCCUAACAGUGGGAAUUUUCACUAUCAGAAGGAUAAUAUGACUUCCUAGCAUGCACAGUAUGCUCCUGAAAAGAAGAAAGCUAAAAUGUGCUGGUAUCAUUAAAGAGCAACAAAAAUUCUUUUAGGUCUUAGCUUCAGCUUUAUUUAACCCUAAUGACUAGAGGGGAGGGGAAAAGCUCCUCCACAGCCAUCAGGAUAGCAGAGGUAAUUUUAGUGAUACACAAAGCUGGAAGAUUAGAUAUGAGGAAGCAAUAAAAAUAUAUUCCAGCAGUUUUUCAUCCAUAGUGGAUAUACAUCUGGUUAACAGGAUCUCCCCAGUUCAUAAAUGAUCUGUAUUAAAGCAUGCAACGAAAUACAGGAGAAGAUCAAGGAAAUGCAGGAGCAGACUAGGGAUAACAUGACAUGUCUUUUUUUUUUUUUUAAGAAUUUAAGGAUAGGUUAGACAUGUAUCAAGCUGGAGAAAUCACUUAAGUGGUCUUAGCAUAGAACAUCCACCUCUACAUAUUGAUAAGAUUGCUAGCAUCAUAGUAGAAUACUACAAAUAUACAAUAUCAGAACACUUGAAAUAUUCUCCUAAUUUGAAAUUCUGAACUUUUGGUAUUUUUUGUCACUAAUGCUUGGUCUUCUAUGUUUCCAGUUCUUCCUAGUUUUUACUGUGAAUCAAAGGAGCUCCUCUAAGGCAUAAUUGCUCAAUUAUGACUCGUAAUAAUGAGACUGCAUACUAAUAAAGCCUCCACACAUUUUCAGUCUUUUCUUCCUAACUAAUGUUUUCCCUUUCAUGCUCUCAUCUCAUCUCCGUACUUGGUACUGUUACUCUUCACUUUUUUUAGCAUUCUCCAUUUUCUUUAUUUUUUUCUCUUGUAAAAAGUCCUUCUCUGUAACCAGUCUAUGUAGCUUUUGAGUUGUUUGUUUCAAUCAUGCUCAUCCGGGAUAAAAGCAAAUCUGAAGCUUUUGACAUUUCAUUUUCCUCCUUUUGUUAAAAAAUAGUUGUUUGAUACCAAUAUCAAAGAUAAGAAGUUGGGAUACUAUUGGAACAAUGCAGUAUGGAAAAGGGCUAUUGGCCAACCUGACUUCUUGCAAGUUUCUCUAUAUACCUUAAUGUGAGAUGGAUUAUACACUACCCAAUUUGUGUCAACAAAGGAAUGUAAAGACACACAUAUCUGAAGAAAACAGAGCUUCAAGAGCAUUCAGAAAUCUGAAAGUGAGGCAGAAUCAUGGUAUUUUUCCUAACAGGCUUACUUCAAUACAGCAAGAGAAAGUCUUUCAACAGUUUGAAAAAUAGACCUAUGCCUUUUGAAUUUAUCUGUGCUCUGUAAAAUAAGUAUUUCCAUACCUCUGAAUCUACACUCUGCCCAGUAUAAAUAUUACUGUCAAGCACUGAGGAAUAACGUCUUCAUUGAUUCUAUAUCUGUGUGGCCAUAUCUACGUGACUUUUUUGUCUGAUGUAAAAGCUGUAAAAUCACCAGCAUGGUAUUAUGGCCAAGUCAAUUUGCACUGCUGGGGUGUUGGUCCUUUGUGGAGAGUUUUGUGAUUAUUAUCUUUGUCUUUCCAUAUUGGACCAAGAAAUAAAAUUGGUAUUCAUUGUUAUCCUGUCACAGACUCCAUAGCGUGUUUGAAGAAUCAUAGCAUAAUGUAAAGUUGUAGCUUUUCAGUGCUUUCUAAGCGAUGUAGUAGUUAAAGAUGGAAACUCAUGAUGAUAUUGAAUCACUGUUGUCAGUAGCUGUUAGCAAAUUAAGUCUCUGAGUUGAUCAAACAAAAAGUCAAUUUCAGAGUAAGGACAAUGAUGGAAGGAAAAAAAACCAAAAACCCUAGAAAUUCCUUUUUUGGCAUAAAUUUUACGUUUAGGGUCAAUUUAAAUUUGCAACACAAGUGUGGGUUAGAAAAUUACCAAAGUUUACAAAGGGAUCAUGUUGCCUAUUGCCCUGCAGCCUGUUUUUGGGGAGUUUCAUAGUAUGAAACUUGAGCACAUUGUCUACAGCAUUAAUGGGAUUUCUCAGAAUUUACAGUGUGCAGCAAGGCCGCUUCUUUCAUGACAGUGGGAUAUUUAAU